rnacentral:rRNA from 1 species
UGAAACUCAAAGGAAUUGACGGGGGCCCGCACAAGCGGUGGAGCAUGUGGUUUAAUUCGAAGCAACGCGAAGAACCUUACCAGGUCUUGACAUCCUCUGAAAACCCUAGAGAUAGGGCUUCUCCUUCGGGAGCAGAGUGACAGGUGGUGCAUGGUUGUCGUCAGCUCGUGUCGUGAGAUG